UGAUGAUACUUCAAAGGUGCUGGUGAUUUUAUCAGUGCAUGAUGGGAGGAAGAGGGCUUGUGGUGAGGUUGCUGGUGAAGGAAGGGGUGGUAGUGGUUUGGAAAUGGGUAAGGGGGAGACAGGCGGUGGAGAGGGCUGGUAUCACAGAUGAAAUUGGAGCCAAGAGGCAGCUGCAGUACAUCUGUCUUGUACUGACACAUGUGGCAUUUGACUUCCAGUGUGAAGUUCAAAAGAGUUUUAUAAUGACGCAGCUGCUUAGGGAUGUAUGUGCGUGUGUGUGUUAGUGUGUGUGUUCUUUCUCCUUUGUUGAAAGUGGGGUGAAGGGUAGGCAGGUUGCCGGAGGGGUUUCAUAGGUGAAAGCUGGAAUUUGGAUUUUUGAAAGUGACGUGGGCAGAAUAGGAGCGGAAUAAUGUUUAGGAGUUUUACAACUUUGUGUUAUCUAACUUUCUUAAAGGAGUGAGUAUUUUUUUAAAUUCUUUAAACACUAAUUGAGUGACAAUCUUUUUUUUUUUUUUAAAUCACUUAUCUAAUUCAGGAUAAGCAGUUCAGAAAGUGCAUAGAUAGAAUCUUUUGAUUCUGGACUUGGAGUUAAAGACAUCAACUUGAAUUACCGACAUUUCUCAAGUGAUGGUUUUACAGCAAAGCUGAUAAUUCAGUCGAUAGGAAUGCAUUCUAAAACAGUUUCAGUAAUCAUCUAAUGACUCAACCUUUUUCCUCGCUGUCUAUUUACAAGCAUCAUGUGUGGAAGAAAUCAGUCCAAGAAGUAGUUGUCCAAUACAAUUAGCCACCAUCUAAUAUUUCCCACAUGUUUUAGUAGUGAUGAGUAAAUUUGCGCAUUUUUAUCCUCCUUUGUGCGCACUGAAACGCUUAGAAACAGACCAAAACCACCAUUACAGGUAAUUUAGAGAGCGAGCCAUUAGCUUCGGUGAUAGCGAAACAUUAACGGUGGGGGGAUGACGGCGCACACCGCUCACCAUUUGUGCCCUUGUGUGCCUGUGCAGAACCUGCCCAGCUGCUUGACUGCAAGGUCAAGGGGUUGCCUGUCAGGAGGCCAGGGCUCAGGGGUCAAAGGUCAUAUUCCAGACGGGCGUAUCCACACGCUGAUUAAGAACUCAGCUGCACAGAACAGAACAGAGCUUGCAGGUGGAUGAUGCAUUUGACCCCUCUCUAAAAUGCCCCAAAACACUUCUCUUUCUUGUUUGUGCUCAGAAACUUCUAAAUAUAAGUAUCACUGAUAAAUAUAGUCUUGUGAUAUUGUGAUUGGCUUUCUUUAAAAAUAGAGCACCCUUAAGGAACUGUUCCAAUU
ensembl:lncRNA